rnacentral:rRNA from 1 species
CGGACCUUCAGCUGCUGGAGUGACGAGUGGCGGACGGGUGAGUAAUGUAUAGGGAUCUGCCUGGUAGUGGGGGACAACGUGUGGAAACGCACGCUAAUACCGCAUACGCUCUACGGAGGAAAGCGGGGGCUCUUCGGACCUCGUGCUAUCAGAUGAACCUAUAUCAGAUUAGCUAGUUGGUAAGGUAACGGCUUACCAAGGCGACGAUCUGUAGCUGGUUUGAGAGAAUGAUCAGCCACACUGGGACUGAGACACGGCCCAGACUCCUACGGGAGGCAGCAGUGGGGAAUAUUGCACAAUGGAGGCAACUCUGAUGCAGCAAUGCCGCGUGUGAAGAAGGCCUUAGGGUUGUAAAGCACUUUCAAUAGGGAGGAAAAGCUGUAGGUUAAUACCUUGCAACCGUGACGUUACCUAUAGAAGAAGGACCGGCUAACUCCGUGCCAGCAGCCGCGGUAAUACGGAGGGUCCGAGCGUUAAUCGGAAUUACUGGGCGUAAAGCGCGCGUAGGCGGAUAUAUAAGUCAGAUGUGAAAUCCCCGGGCUCAACCUGGGAACUGCAUUUGAAACUGUAUAUCUAGAGUGUGGUAGAGGUGAGUGGAAUUUCAGGUGUAGCGGUGAAAUGCGUAGAGAUCUGAAGGAACAUCAGUGGCG